AAACACACCGCCCUUCCCCAUUCUUCAAAAACCCACCGCACCGGGGAGAGAGAGAGAGAGAGCGUACCACACGGGCGAGAGAGAGCAUGAACGGACAAGAUCUGGUGGACUCUGAUGAGGACAAUGAUGGUGGAUUCGAGGUAACAGUGAGGGUUUACAAGCAAGAGGAACACCGGCCACCUGAUCUAGGGUUCCUGGAAGGGUUGGUUGUCUGGCAAGGGUUCCAGCAACUCCGACGAAGGGUUUAUUGGGUAUAGAAGUGUGAGACCUGGACGACAGUGGCGAAGGGGAGUUGGUUCAACACGGCAACUGCCAACGGGGAUUAGCGUUUUGACGACCCUGUUGGUACUCCGACAAGCACCCCCAUGCUUGAAUGCCACUUUUUCAGUUAAAACAGAGACAACCAUGGUUAGAUACACACCUCCGGUGAGCUUGGGUUACAAGUUCAGGCGAUUGUCAAUCCUCCGAUGAAGCGCGGGCGAAGUUCAGGUCAGCCCUUUUUACCCACAUGUUCUAUUUGAGGUUAAAGAAAUGUGAUGAGGUUCAGUUCGGCAUCCGAAGGUAUUAACGCAUAACCCGACAACUUAGUAAAAAAAAAUUCCCCUAUAAAUUUCGUGUGUGACAUAAGUAACCAACUUGGCAAAUUAUUUAUCAGCGAGGCUUUUAUUGUAAUCUGUUUCUGUUAUACCGUACACAAAUUUGAUAUUCCACAUGAGUAAUUCAUAAUUCACGUGAACAUAAAUCAUAGAAAAUUGACAUUGUCAUAUGUUUCUGAUAAACAAUCAAUCGGGCAAUCUGCAACGGUUGUUUGGCAAAGAAAUUUAGAAAGUACAAGUAUGAUGCUUAGGAUGGCUUGCUCUAACGUAUUUGAUCUGAUUUCAAAACUCAUGUGAUCCUUGACCGCUGAUCCCUUAAUCAAUCUCCUGAAUUAGACGAGACCGCUGCCAUACUCACGUUAGUGCCAUUGGCUUUCACCCUCGCUUAACAACCGUAUAACAGUCGUUAUUGGGGGAAACGAUGAUGGAGUUCUGGUGAUUGGUUGUGAUUGUACCUGCUGAAAUAAGUGGUGGUUACUUGGUGAUUAAAGAUGGUGAAAGCAAGUUAAACAUCGGGUCAAAGCCGGAUUCAACAUGGUCAAACAUCUUCAAAAUCAGUCAACGCUAAUCACUCCCGAAAGAGGGUUGAAGCAGAGCGAAAAACGACACUGCUUUCACUCGAUGGAUGUAAUAAGAAUGUCGUUGUGGCGUUAAUUAGCAUGCAUGAUUACGGUUUUGAGGCCAAAAUUAAAUUGAAUCUAGAGACAAUUUGUGUGGAAACACCUAAAGAAUCUGUUGCUAAAACUCCUGUAGAGAGAAAGAAACAGUAAAAGCAAAAGAACCAUCUGCAAAGAAGUCAAAGAAAGAAAGGGAUCCAAGUAAACCUAAAAGGCCACCAACUGCAUUCUUUUUUUCAUGGAGGACAUUAGGAAAACAUUUAAGGAAGCAAAUCUAGACAAUAAGAAAGUUGCAUUGGUUGCUAAGGAGGGUGGUGGAAAAAUGGAAGUCAAUAACUGAUGAAAAAUCUUAUGUUGAAAGGGCCACUGAACUUAAAGAGAAAUACCAAAAGGCAUUGGAGAAUCCAAAUGGUGCUGACAUUGAAGAUGGUAAGGUUGUGAGUAGUGGCGAAGCUUGACCAUGAAAACGAGGGGGUCGAAAACGUAUAUCCCCAAAAAUUUCUAUAGAACCGGGGGUUCGAAAACGUAUAUACCCAAAAAUUUCUAUACGAAAACUACAUGUAUAACACUACUGAGCGAAAAGUUCGGGGGGUCGGGCGCCCCUCCCGGCCCCUCUUAAGCUACGCCUUUGGCUGUGAGUAUUUCUUGAUUUUGUGCUUUUUUGUAUACAUGAUUUGUUGUGAUCACAUGACUAACUUGAUGACUAACUUGAAAUGGGCAUGUUU